CCGUCCAUCACGAUUUAAUCUGGGUCGUGCGAUCGCGAUUAAAAUGAGAAUAAAUCUGGACCGUUCGAUCGCGUGCACGUGGAUCGCCCACGUGGCUCCGUCCCAAGUGGCCUCCCGCGUCAGCUUCUUUGCUACGCGGCGUGUUCUGGUUGGCCGGGGCUGCUGACGUGGCAUAAUUUUUCUAAAUUGUAUUUUGACCUUUAGUUUUCGAUUUUCUUUUC
rnacentral:lncRNA from 1 species